rnacentral:rRNA from 1 species
CGCGUAGGCGGCCUGAUAAGUAGGGGGUGAAAUCCUGCGGCUUAACCGCAGGGCUGCCUUCUAAACUGUCAGGCUGGAGCACAGUAGAGGCAGGUGGAAUUCCCGGUGUAGCGGUGGAAUGCGUAGAGAUCGGGAAGAAUACCAACGGCGAAGGCAGGUCACUGGGCAGUUACUGACACUGAGGCACGAAGGCCAGGGGAGCAAACG